AGCUGUGGCAAGUAAAGGAGGCCAGACUUUAAAGGAGGCUGUCCAGAGAAUGUCCUUUGCGUUAUUUACUAAUAACCUCUGUUGUAAACUUAACUGGUCUGGUAUUACCAUAAAUGACAAUGAAAGUAACUUUGUAAAACAAAGACUUACACUUGCUUAAAAGAGCUGUAAAAAAAAAUCCUGCAACAACUUCAGCAACUGAAUCAGAUUUUCAAUAUGAGGUUGUGCGUUUUUUGCGUGCUGCAUCAGAUCGCAAUGGCAGAAAAAAAGUUAGACAAGACCAAAAAAACAAACAGUCCAAGAAAAUGAUGCCUACAUCAAGUUUUCCAAUGCCAUUAAAUAAUUUAGUUCAGAAGAUGAAUAACAUUGCUAA